UCGCUGUGAAGAUGCAGUGUACCCGCGGCUAGACGGAAAGACCCCGUGAACCUUUACUACAGCUUGGCACUGAACAUUGACCCUACAUGUGUAGGAUAGGUGGGAGGCUUUGAAGCACGUACGCCAGUAUGUGUGGAGCCGUCCUUGAAAUACCACCCUUGUAGUGUUGAUGUUCUAACGUCGACCCCUUAUCGGGGUUGCGGACAGUGCCUGGUGGGUAGUUUGACUGGGGCGGUCUCCUCCCAAAGAGUAACGGAGGAGCACGAAGGUGGGCUAAUCACGGUUGGACAUCGUGAGGUUAGUGCAAUGGCAUAAGCCCGCUUGACUGCGAGAAUGACAAUUCGAGCAGGUGCGAAAGCAGGUCAUAGUGAUCCGGUGGUUCUGAAUGGAAGGGCCAUCGCUCAACGGAUAAAAGGUACUCCGGGGAUAACAGGCUGAUACCGCCCAAGAGUU
rnacentral:rRNA from 1 species